UUCAUUUCUAACGCAUGUAUGCAAUCCCUUACCUUAUCUUUAAAUAAAUUUGAGUAAAUAAAUUUAAGUGCGAAACUGUUCCAUGCUACCGUGAAACUUAGAUUUUGCUUUUUAAACAUAAACCAACAAUUCGUAAUUUUCUUCUUUAAAAAAGGUAUUGACACCCCAAUAUUUAGUGAGAAGUUCCCAGGUAUAAUCCGCUAGCGACAGUCUACUGGCAAAUCCAGACAUGCAUUGGAAGGAUGCUGAUGUGGAGGACACAGGAACACCUGAUCCCAGAACUGUGGCAUUUCAUUCGGGGUGACAACCUGGCUUUCAGUUGGUAUGACUCUUUGAGGUUGAAUAUAGGGUUAAAUCAGUAUAAAUUUGAUUAACAUUCAAAUAAGUCCAGAUCAUACAUUCACAAUUGGAAUCAUGGCAUUAUGGUACACUGAUAUGUGUGUACCAUUUUACUGUUUUUUUGUUUGUGUUUUUUUUUUUGUUGUUGCAUAACUAGGGAUCGUAUACAUACAAAAUGAGACAAAACAAUUUCUAAUUAGUUUCUAAUUAUAAGGUAUGACACGUUUUAAGGUAUGGUGGCCAAUACUGAUUUUAUUUGCAAUUUUCUUUCAGAUAUGGGACCCUAUUAUUCGGAGAACUGCAGAUUUUAUGAAGCUGUCUUUGACAGAAGAUUUGGUUUUCUCCAUCUGUGUUGCCACCAACCAUUAUGCUGAGAUGGUCAUAUCUAGGGGGAAGGGUUGCCAUAUACUUCCCAAGGAAGUUUGCAGCCUCUCACUGAAGAGGAACUGUACAGAUUUUUGUGCAUUAUCUUAUACACGCCUGCUGUGAAGUUCCAGUCGAUAGACAGAUAUUGGUCAACGCAUGCCCAUGUCGGAACAACUCAUUAUCAAGAAUUAUGUCUAGAAAUAGGUUUCAAGAGGUUGAAUAUAAGAACAUUUUUGUUAAAUAUGAUGCAAGUACAUUUAAAUAUAGUGAUUGAAAGUAAGUACUUGAACAUUCGUAUAUGUUGAACUUGGAGAGGAAAAAUGGUUAGUACUUUUUGAUAACAUUUGAUAAGGUGUUGUUGCUUAGCAACCAAAUAUAAUUGAAUAAAAAAAUAGAUUAUUUUUAGAUUAACAAUAAUUGAAAGAUCUUUGUUUUAAUGUUGCAAUACUUAUUCUAUUUAAUGGAACAUAAUGGCAAAACGUCAUAUUAUUAGAAAAUGAUGGACAAGUAUAUAAAGUACGAAGUUUCCAUUUGAUGACCUUUGACCUUAAUUCUCUUCAUCAUAUUUUUUGUUAAAAACCUUUUAAAAUGAUUAAGAUCUAUUUAAAGAUUAUAUUUUUAAAAUAAUGUGACAUUUACUAAUCAUCAUGGAUUGUAAUUACGUUUAAAUUGUGUCGAAUGGAUGCAGAAAGGCAAAUUAUGGUCAAAAUUGUACUAUGAGUGUUGUUACUUAGCGACCAAAAAUAUUUGUUUGUCAAUAAAAUUGAUUAGUUUGA